rnacentral:rRNA from 1 species
AGUGAACGCUGGCGGUAGGCCUAACACAUGCAAGUCGAACGGCAGCACAGUAAGAGCUUGCUCUUACGGGUGGCGAGUGGCGGACGGGUGAGGAAUACAUCGGAAUCUACUUUUUCGUGGGGGAUAACGUAGGGAAACUUACGCUAAUACCGCAUACGACCUACGGGUGAAAGCAGGGGAUCUUCGGACCUUGCGCGAUUGAAUGAGCCGAUGUCAGAUUAGCUAGUUGGCGGGGUAAAGGCCCACCAAGGCGACGAUCCGUAGCUGGUCUGAGAGGAUGAUCAGCCACACUGGAACUGAGGCACGGUCCAGACUCCUACGGGAGGCAGCAGUGGGGAAUAUUGGACAAUGGGCGCAAGCCUGAUCCAGCCAUACCGCGUGGGUGAAGAAGGCCUUCGGGUUGUAAAGCCCUUUUGUUGGGAAAGAAAAGCAGCAGGUUAAUACCCCGCUGUUCUGACGGUACCCAAAGAAUAAGCACCGGCUAACUUCGUG